GGGAACGUACCCUUCGGUUCGGAAUAACUCAGGGAAACUUGAGCUAAUACCGGAUACGCCCUUUUGGGGAAAGGUUUACUGCCGAAGGAUCGGCCCGCGUCUGAUUAGCUUGUUGGUGGGGUAACGGCCUACCAAGGCGACGAUCAGUAGCUGGUCUGAGAGGAUGAUCAGCCACACUGGGACUGAGACACGGCCCAGACUCCUACGGGAGGCAGCAGUGGGGAAUAUUGGACAAUGGGCGUAAGCCUGAUCCAGCCAUGCCGCGUGAGUGAUGAAGGCCUUAGGGUUGUAAAGCUCUUUUGUCCGGGACGAUAAUGACGGUACCGGAAGAAUAAGCCCCGGCUAACUUCGUGCCAGCAGCCGCGGUAAUACGAAGGGGGCUAGCGUUGCUCGGAAUCACUGGGCGUAAAGGGCGCGUAGGCGGCCGAUUAAGUCGGGGGUGAAAGCCUGUGGCUCAACCACAGAAUUGCCUUCGAUACUGGUUGGCUUGAGACCGGAAGAGGACAGCGGAACUGCGAGU
rnacentral:rRNA from 1 species